rnacentral:rRNA from 1 species
AUUGAACGCUGGCGGCAUGCCUUACACAUGCAAGUCGAACGGCAGCGCGGGAGCAAUCCUGGCGGCGAGUGGCGAACGGGUGAGUAAUAUAUCGGAACGUGCCCAGUAGUGGGGGAUAGCCCGGCGAAAGCCGGAUUAAUACCGCAUGAGACCUGAGGGUGAAAGCGGGGGAUCGCAAGACCUCGCGCUAUUGGAGCGGCCGAUAUCAGAUUAGCUAGUUGGUGGGGUAAAGGCCUACCAAGGCAACGAUCUGUAGUUGGUCUGAGAGGACGACCAGCCACACUGGGACUGAGACACGGCCCAGACUCCUACGGGAGGCAGCAGUGGGGAAUAUUGGACAAUGGGGGAAACCCGUGAUCCAGCGAUGCCGCGUGAGUGAUGAAGGCCCUAGGGUU